rnacentral:rRNA from 2 species
UGCCUCAGUAACGGCGAGUGAAGCGGCAACAGCUCAAAUUUGAAAUCUGGCCCUAGGCCCGAGUUGUAAUUUGCAGAGGAUGCUUUUGGUGCGGUGCCUUCCAAGUUCCCUAGAACGGGACGCCAGAGAGGGUGAGAGCCCCGUACAGUUGGACACCAAGCCUUUGUAAAGCUCCUUCGACGAGUCGAGUAGUUUGGGAAUGCUGCUCAAAAUGGGAGGUAUAUUUCUUCUAAAGCUAAAUACCGGCCAGAGACCGAUAGCGCACAAGUAGAGUGAUCGAAAGAUGAAAAGCACUUUGAAAAGAGGGUUAAACAGCACGUGAAAUUGUUAAAAGGGAAGCGCUUGUGACCAGACUUGCGUCCGGUGAAUCACCCAGCUCUCGCGGCUGGGGCACUUCGCCGGCUCAGGCCAGCAUCAGCUCGCUGUCGGGGACAAAAGCUUCAGGAACGUAGCUCUCUUCGGGGAGUGUUAUAGCCUGUUGCACAAUACCCUUCGGCGGGCUGAGGUACGCGCUCCGCAAGGAUGCUGGCAUAAUGGUCAUCAGCGACCCGUCUUGAAACACGGACCAAGGAGUCAACCUUAUGUGCGAGUGUUCGGGUGUCAAACCCCUACGCGUAAUGAAAGUGAACGCAGGUGAGAGCUUCGGCGCAUCAUCGACCGAUCCUGAUGUUCUCGGAUGGAUUUGAGUAAGAGCAUAUAGGGUUGGACCCGAAAGAAGGUGAACUAUGCGUGUAUAGGGUGAAGCCAGAGGAAACUCUGGUGGAGGCUCGCAGCGGUUCUGACGUGCAAAUCGAUCGUCAAAUAUGCGCAUGGGGGCGAAAGACU